rnacentral:sRNA from 1 species
AUUACAGAUGAUUUAAAUGGGUAACCUAUUUUCAUUUGUCUCGCUGAUUUUUAAACGUUGUCUUUUUGUAAUUCCUUUUUGUAGACAGCUGAUUUUACUUCUAGAGUUAUAUAGUCCCAGAGAUGUUUAUGACUACUUACGUCCCAUUGCUCUGAAUCUGUGUGCAGACAAAGUUUCUUCUGUUCGUUGGAUUUCCUACAAGUUGGUCAGCGAGAUGGUGAAGAAGCUGCACGCGGCAACACCACCAACGUUCGGAGUGGACCUCAUCAAUGAGCUUGUGGAGAACUUUGGCAGAUGUCCCAAGUGGUCUGGUCGGCAAGCCUUUGUCUUUGUCUGCCAGGUAAGCGAGGCCCUGGGCUUACUUGUUUAUGAGUUUUUCUCCUAGAAGAAUGUCUUCUUUAACUUCCUACCUCUCUCUCACUCUCUUCCUUAUUCUUAAGGAACAGAACCUUAUGGUAGCCUGGCUGUUUAUAGGAUCAUCUGCCCCCAUUGUUGGGCAUCGGCUGGCCCCUCUCUCCCAGCUAGCCAAGCCCCUCCUUACACUGGCAUGCACCACAC